AUGUCUGUUGUGAAGGAGGAGUUACCUGCAGAUGUGAAAUCCAUGGAGGAUUCUGAACAGACUCCUGAUGUUUCUAAUUCUCUUUGUGUCCAGAAAUCUCAAACACUUAAUUCAGAACCCACAAUUGGUCAAUCUUGUGGCACACAGGAAAAUGGGCAGAAGGUUCCUAGCAUUUCAUCAGAGGAAGGUGCCUCAGGGAUAACGCUCAGCGACUCUGAAGAACAAACCGAGAAUAAAUCGGUGCCACAAAAACGAGCAGGUGCUGUGGCCUUGCCCCUUCUUGCAUUGUUCUUUCAACAGCUCAAAUCAAAACCAAAAUCUGCCAAGAUCACUCCAAAACCUGAUGAUCCAGUAUUCCUUGAGAAGCCCAAAUCAAAACCUAAACCUGUCAAUACCGCCCCAAAACCUGAUGCUGCUGGGUCAACUUGGUUAUCAAAAGGCAAUACCUCACCUUCUACAAGUAUUCGUUUUAUACCUAAUUCCACAAACCCUUCAGAAUCAUGCACUCAAUUGGUUGACACCCAUACCUCAUCAACACUGUCUCCUGUCUCAUCUAAUAAAACUGUUGAAAACAUUGUUCUCAAUGCCCCAUCAGAAUGUUUGACGUCUCCUAAAACCGAUGACAUAGCCGCUAUGAAAACAUUCCCUGAAAUACAAACCUUAUGCAAACCACCGUCACCUGAGACGCGGAAAACACUACUGUCCACUACAGUACCCUCUAAAACUGACACAACGCCUGUUACCAAUGAAGCUAAACCCCAGUCUUUGACUGUAAAUUCAUCUGAAGACAUUGUCAACCAAUCUACAACCCUUGCCACACCAUCUGAAGCUGCUGCUUCUGACUCAGCACCUUGUUCACCAUCAUCCCUAGGCUUUUCACAUGGUAGCCCAGCGCCUUCAUCUGACCAAGAGCCUUCAGAUCCUCCUCCUAACAAACUGGAUAUUACCCAAGCCAGUGAACAAGCGGAGGGCAAUGAAUCGAGCGGUGGAACUGGUGUGGCUUCCCUCGUAAUCAACUCUAGCAACCAGCUGUCUGUGGGGAAAAAGUCCACGGGGAGACGCAAAAAAGGCAGAAAGAUCAAGCAACCUGAUGAGCCACUGUUGGUUGGUGGUCCUACUGAUGUCCGCAUGCAUCCCAACCUUGAAGAUGUGGAAGGUCAAUUGUUUGUCUCCUUCACUUCAAAGGUAACUACAUGCUCUAGCCUUAAACCAACACAAUGCUGUAUUUAG
rnacentral:lncRNA from 1 species